AUAGCAUUGCUCGUUUCAUUUGCUUUAUGCUGUUUGUCUUCCUACGUUAACGAAGUUUGUUAGUUUUACAAAUUGUAAGUGAAUCGUGGUAGCGACGUGGCCGGCGGUGCUUUUAACGGAAUAUUUUGUAGCUUGUAACUCGAGUGUUCAGCAUCGGAUCAGCAAAGGCUUUUGAUCAUCGAUGCUGCACUGCUACGUGCAUCUCCGUCGAAGCGCACGUCGAGCUGUCUGUCUUUUUCCUCUAUGUCUCCCUGUAUAGGUUAUUUUCGGUGUAGCACGGAGAAAUACGAAAGUGCGGUGUCUCUCCCGGGCACUUGAGAUAGGUGCUGCACUUUUAGUCGGUAUUCACACGGCGGCCACAACGACACUGCAUCAGUGGAUGCUAAAUGGGCUUAAAUGAUGCUUUCAAUGUUUAAAUUACAAAGAACAUGCAUCAUGUACGAUAUUAUGUGUAACGACAGUGGAAGAAAGAAGAGAAGACAACUAAAUUGCAACUCGGGCAAAUUACAAUGAAAGACAAUUGCACUGAAAAACAGAAAUAAUAAUUUCAUUGUACUUUAUAAUUCUAUAAAAUAAAAAUACGUUCUGUAUA